rnacentral:rRNA from 1 species
CCUACGGGUGGCAGCAGUGGGGAAUUUUGCGCAAUGCUCGUAAGAGUGACGCAGCGACGCCGCGUGAAUGACGAAGGCCUUCGGGUCGUAACGUUCUUUCGCCAGGUAAUAAACUGCCUAUAAGUAACUGUGUAUGUAUUGACGGUACCUGUAUAAGCAGCCCCGGCUAACUCCGUGCCAGCACCCGCGGUAAUACGGAGGGUGCGAGCGUUGUUCGGAGUGACUGGGCGUAAAGAGCACGUAGGCGGUGUUGUAAGUCAUUAGUCAAAGACUAGAGCUCAACUUUAGUAAGGCUAGUGAUAGUAUAAUACUAGAGUAUCAGAGAGGAUUGCAGAAUUCCUGGUGUAGAGGUGAAAUGCGUAGAUAUCAGGAGGAAUACCGUUAGCGAAGGCGGCAAUCUGGUUGGAAACUGACGCUGAGGUGCGAAAGCGUGGGUAGCAAACAGGAUUAGAGACAACUGUAGUC